ensembl:lncRNA
CAAAAUGGCCUUGCUUUGAAUCCCAGGUGCUGUGCCUUUAAACAGCACAGUGUUGUUAUAAACCAGUAACCUUAACCCUUAGCCUCAAAGCACACCCUUUUCCUGAUAACACAGACAGACAUUCACACUCAAAAUACAGUACAACGAUAUUCGGUGUUCACACAUUUGUACACACACACGUACAGCGCACACGUUCAUUUCCAGUGAAGUCCCAGAUUCACUGAAUUGGCAGCGGGCUUAAAAGGUAAGCUAUAGGUACAUUUUAUUUAAAGUUUUUUGUUAUUGCUUUGUGUUACUAUAGAUCAGUAUAGAACACAAAUCUACUCCAGCCUGGAACAUGAAUUGAUUCAUGGGUUAAUACAUUUUUUUUUUUUUACUUGGUUAAGAACUGUGGUUAGUUAGCUAGUUGGGAUUUUUCUAAUGGAAGUGUUCUUUGACUCCUUCUGCUUGACUCCUGCACUUUUGGUUGUUACCUACAUGUGGGCUUAUUGAAAUUACGUUCAGUCAAUUCCCUGGGUUUCUUGGUCAAGGUAGAGAAAGACAUGAACAACCCUAACACAAACUUAACACAGUUCUAUACUACAGAACACUGAAUUAAUUACUAGGAUUAAAAUUUUAGUUUUGGCCAUGUGUGGCAAGGAUAUUAUCUUGAGUGUCUUCAGUGUUCAUUUCCUAUAUUUGUUGUUGGGCGUUUGGUUCACUUGUAUCAGCUGGACUAUAAAUGGAUGAAUCAGAGGUGUCAUGUGUUUCUAUUAAGUUAUGGUAAACCCAUGUGAGCACUUAAAGCUGAACACCACUGGGCACUUAAAGCUGUCUUUUUAUCUAGGCUACUUUUACAUAACAUACCAAUCGAAACACAACACGGUAUUCAACAUUUCUUCUUACUUUUUUUGCUAUAAGACUGUCUUAGAAUGACUCUAAGUUUUAUAUUUACACGAAUCUUGUGUAAUGUCUGACCGGUUGUUGUGUUGUGGUUAAAUAAAGAAUCUGUUGGUUUUCAUCUAGAAGGCACAUGACAUCAACUUCUUCAGCCCAUAAACAAACACUGCCUUUUUGUUACUUGAUAUUAACCAAAAGCACUGAAUUUGAUCAAGUUCAGAUGUAACAGCAAUCUGCCUCACAAAAAGUUUGGUUGGUGCCGAUGGUUGGAUGUGCGUCCACUGUCAAUAAUAGUGAACAAUACAGAACACUUUAAAAUGUAUCAGGUGUCUGUGAUGGGGUUAAAAUUGAGAUAAGUUCCCAUCUCACACAAUUAGUUGUCCAAAUAGGUAAACAUGCUUCAAAUUUUUGUUGUCUCAUUGUUUAUUGUCUCAAGCUUAUGACUCAUCAAAUGUAUGACUCCUCAAAUUUAUUUUCUUGCUAUGUUGGCCUUUCUAAAUUUCCUCAAUUGAUACCUAUUAUCACCUUGUUAGUAAGCAAAUUUAGGCUCUGGAUAUCUAAGAUGACUGGCAGACAGUGGUAGGGUCGUGACAGUGGUAGGGCCGUGACAGUGGUAGGGCCGUGACAGUGGUAGGGUCGUGACAGUGGUAGGGUCGUGACAGUGGUAGGGCCGUGACAGUGGUAGGGCCGUGACAGUGGUAGGGUUGUGACAAUGGUAGGCCCGUGACAGUGGUAGGGUCCUGACAGUGGUAGGGUCGUGACAGUGGUAGGGUCGUGACAGUGGUAGGGCCGUGACAGUGGUAGGGUCGUGACAGUGGUAGGGUCGUGACAGUGGUAGGGUCGUGACAGUGGUAGGGCCGUGACAGAGGUAGGGUCGUGACAGUGGUAAGGUCGUGACAGUGGUAGGGCCGUGACAGAGGUAGGGCCGUGACAGUGGUAGGGUCGUGACAGUGGUAGGGUCGUGACAGUGGUAGGGCCGUGACAGUGGUAGGGCCGUGACAGUGGUAGGGUUGUGACAAUGGUAGGCCCGUGACAGUGGUAGGGUCCUGACAGUGGUAGGG